AUUGAACGCUGGCGGCAUGCUUUACACAUGCAAGUCGAACGGCAGCGGGGUAGUUCUUGCACUACUUCCGGCGCGUGGCGUACGGGUGAGUAAUAUAUCUGAACGUACCGAGUAAUGGGGGAUAACCAAUCGAAAGAUUGGCUAAUACCGCUUACGUCCUGAGGGAGAAGGCGGGGGAUCGCAAGACCUCGCGUUAUUCGAGCGGCCGAUAACUGAAUAGUUAGUUGGUGGGGUAAAGGCCUACCAAGGCUACGAUCAGUAUCGGGCCUGAGAGGGGGAUCCCCCACAUUGGGACUGAGCCACGGCCUAGUUUCCUAGGGGAGGCAGCAAUGGGGAAUUUUGGACAAGGGGGGCAAUCCUGAUCCAUCCAGGCGGCGUGGAGGAAGAGGGCCUUCGAGUUGUAUAGUACUUUUUUUAGGGAAGAAAAGGGAAGUGCUGAUACCACCAUUUGCUGGCGGUACAUAAUGAAUAAGCAGCGGCUAACUACGUG
rnacentral:rRNA from 1 species